UCUAAGGGUUGACGCCACAUAUGCAUGGU
rnacentral:sRNA from 1 species